UGUAUAAUGGGUCAGCGACUUAUAUUCUGUAGCAAGGUUAACCGUAUAGGGGAGCCGCAGGGAAACCGAGUCUUAACUGGGCGUUAAGUUGCAGGGUAUAGACCCGAAACCCGGUGAUCUAGCCAUGGGCAGGUUGAAGGUUGGGUAACACUAACUGGAGGACCGAACCGACUAAUGUUGAAAAAUUAGCGGAUGACUUGUGGCUGGGGGUGAAAGGCCAAUCAAACCGGGAGAUAGCUGGUUCUCCCCGAAAGCUAUUUAGGUAGCGCCUCGUGAACUCAUCUUCGGGGGUAGAGCACUGUUUCGGCUAGGGGGUCAUCCCGACUUACCAACCCGAUGCAAACUACGAAUACCGAAGAAUGUUAUCACGGGAGACACACGGCGGGUGCUAACGUCCGUCGUGAAGAGGGAAACAACCCAGACCGCCAGCUAAGGUCCCAAAGUCAUGGUUAAGUGGGAAACGAUGUGGGAAGGCCCAGACAGCCAGGAUGUUGGCUUAGAAGCAGCCAUCAUUUAAAGAAAGCGUAAUAGCUCACUGGUCGAGUCGGCCUGCGCGGAAGAUGUAACGGGGCUAAACCAUGCACCGAAGCUGCGGCAGCGACACUAUGUGUUGUUGGGUAGGGGAGCGUUCUGUAA
rnacentral:rRNA from 1 species